GCUGACACAGCCCAGCCAAUCUCCAGCAGACCCUCCCUCCCAGACCCUCCCACCUCCUGGACAGCAUCCAUGUUGAAGCUGCCUUCAGUAAGCUUCCAUGUUGAAGCUGCCUUCAACAUGGAUGCUGUCCAGGAGGUGGGAGGGUGUGGGAGGGAGGGUCUGCUGGAGAUUGGCUGGUCUGUGUCA